rnacentral:rRNA from 1 species
UAACACAUGCAAGUCGAACGAGAGAGAGGGAGCUUGCUUCCUCAAUCGAGUGGCGAACGGGUGAGUAACGCGUGAGGAACCUGCCUCAAAGAGGGGGACAACAGUUGGAAACGACUGCUAAUACCGCAUAAGCCCACGACCCGGCAUCGGGUUGAGGGAAAAGGAGCAAUCCGCUUUGAGAUGGCCUCGCGUCCGAUUAGCUAGUUGGUGAGGUAACGGCCCACCAAGGCAACGAUCGGUAGCCGGACUGAGAGGUUGAACGGCCACAUUGGGACUGAGACACGGCCCAGACUCCUACGGGAGGCAGCAGUGGGGAAUAUUGCACAAUGGGGGAAACCCUGAUGCAGCGACGCCGCGUGGAUGAAGAAGGUCUUCAGAUUGUAAACUCCUGUUGUUGAGGAAGAUAAUGACGGUACUCAACAAGGAGGUGACGGCUAACUACGUGCCAGCAGCCGCGGUAAAACGUAGGUCACAAGCGUUGUCCGGAAUUACUGGGUGUAAAGGGAGCGCAGGCGGGAAGACAAGUUGGAAGUGAAAUCUAUGGGCUCAACCCAUAAACUGCUUUCAAAACUGUUUUUCUUGAGUAGUGCAGAGGUAGGCGGAAUUCCCGGUGUAGCGGUGGAAUGCGUAGAUAUCGGGAGGAACACCAGUGGCGAAGGCGGCCUACUGGGCACCAACUGACGCUGAGGCUCGAAAGUGUGGGUAGCAAACAGGAUUAGAUACCCUGGUAGUCCACACCGUAAACGAUGAUUACUAGGUGUUGGAGGAUUGACCCCUUCAGUCCCGC